rnacentral:rRNA from 1 species
AGCAGCCGCGGUAAUUCCAGCUCCAAUAGCGUAUAUUAAAGUUGUUGCAGUUAAAAAGCUCGUAGUUGAAUUUCGGGAUCAAUAUGUCGGUCGUGCUUUUUGGUACGUACUGGCGUCAUUGGUUUCUCCUUUCUGACGAACCAUGAUGUCAUUAAUUUGGUGUUAUGGGGAGUUAGGACUGUUACUUUGAAAAAAUUAGAGUGUUUAAAGCAGGCUUACGCUUGAAUACAUUAGCAUGGAAUAAUGAAAUAGGACGUAUGAUCCUAUUUUGUUGGUUUCUAGGAUUGACGUAAUGAUUAAUAGGGAUAGUUGGGGGCAUUAGUAUUCAAUUGUCAGAGGUGAAAUUCUUGGAUUUAUUGAAGACUAACUACUGCGAAAGCAUUUGCCAAGGAUGUUUUCAUUAAUCAAGAACGAAAGUUAGGGGAUCGAAGACGAUCAGAUACCGUCGUAGUCUUAACCAUAAACUAUGCCGACUAGGGAUCGGAUGAUGUUAAUUUUUUUCAAUGACUCAUUCGGCGCC